rnacentral:rRNA from 1 species
GGAUUAGAUACCCUGGUAGUCCACACCGUAAACGAUGGAUGUUAGAUGUUGGGGGUUUACCCUCAGUAUUGUAGCUAACGCGUUAAACAUCCCGCCUGGGGAGUACGGUCGCAAGAUUAAAACUCAAAGGAAUUGACGGGGACCCGCACAAGCGGUGGAGCAUGUGGUUUAAUUCGAUGCUACGCGAAAAACCUUACCAGGACUUGACAUGUAUUGGAACCUUUAGAGAAAUCUAUUGGGUGGAGCAAUCCACUGAUACACAGGUGUUGCAUGGCUGUCGUCAGCUCGUGCCG